rnacentral:tRNA from 1 species
GGCCCUAUCGUCUAGCGGCCAGGACACUGCGUUCUCAGCGCAGGAACCGGGGUUCGACUCCCCGUGGGGCUA